GAGGGCUGCCUGAGGCAGGACAACCCAUAUGUUAUGACUGCAGUUGCAUUCUUGAAGGACAUCUAACCAGGAUUGCCUCAGUAAUGGCGAGUGAAGAGGGAGGAGCCCAGCACCAAAUGCCUGCCUGGGUGAUGGCACAGGGAAAUGUGGUGUAUGGAACUCCAUCUUCCUGGUGCCACUCAGGGGGCCUAAGUCGUUGUGAUUGAGGCUCAGCCCGCAGAUGGUGUCAGGCCAGUGACGGCCCCCAGCAUGUCGGGAUCAGGUCUUCCAGGAGUAAGGUUGUUUGUGAAUGCAGCCCAAAGUGGGUGGUAAACUCCAUCUAAGGCUAAACACCAGCACAAGACCGAUAUCAGACAAGUACCAUAAGGGAAAGUUGAAAAGAACUUUGAAGAGAGAGUUCAAGAUGGAGUGAAACCAUUAAAUUGUAAACUGGUGGGGUCUGCUCGGUCUUCCCAGAGGAAUCAACUCUGUGGCCAUAUCGGCCACCUGGGCAAGGUGGACCUCACUCCCAGGGGUGGGGAAUUGUCCCCAGGCACACCAGCCACUGUCAGAUGCACUUCCUCCACAGCGGUGCACCACGACCGGCUCUGGGUCAGCUGGGAAGGCUGCAUGGAAAGUGGCUCCUCUCCCAGAGAGGAGUGUUACAGCCCACAGCAUCAGCUCUUGCCAUGCCCUUGGGUCAUGGGAGACAACUGCCACCACACCCACCCUCACAGUGGGGGCCAGGGGCCCCCAGUUCCUGGUAGGACUGUCAACUGGGUCAGACUGUCCUCAGUGCAGCCCAACUAUGUCCCACCAUUGGGCUGGUGGGCUCAUCAUGGAUGCCCGGGGUCUGCGGCAAUGUCAGUAACCCACCCGUCCCAUCUUAAAAAAUGGACCAAGGUGUGUAACAGGUGCGCGAAUCCAAGGGUGGGCAGGAGACCCCAUGGUGCAAUAAAAGUGAGGGAUGGUGAGGGAUCCCCCCGCCCCACAUGGGGGCUCACUGCCGGCCUGUCUCACCCAUCCUGUCAGGGAGGUGGAGCAUGAGUGUACCUGGUGAGACCCAAAAGAUGGUGAACUAUGCCUGGGCAGAGUGACACCAGGGGAAACUCAGGUGGAGGGCCAUAGCAGUCCUGACAUGCAAAGCAGUCAUCUUACCUGGGUAUGGGGUAAAAAAUUAAUCAAACCAUCUAGUAGCUGGUUCCCUCUGAAGUUUCCCUCAGGAUUGCUGGUGCUCGGCAGAUGCAGUUUUAUCUGGUAAAGCAAAUGUUUGGGGCCGAAACGACCUAUUCUCAAAUUUUAAAUGGGUAAGAAGCCUGACUCACUGGCUUGUAGCCAGCUGUGGAAUGAGAGCUCCCAGUGGGGCACUUUUUGUAAACAUAACUGACACUGCGGGAUGAACUGAAUGCCAGGUUAAGGCACCCAAUGCCGAUGCUCAUUAGACCCCAGAAAAGGUGUUGGUUGAUAUAGACAGCAGGACGGUGACCAUGGAAGUCAGAAUCUGCUAUGGAGUGUGUAAAUCACCUGCAGAAUCAACUAGCGCUGAAAAUAGAUGGAGCUGCAUCAGUCUCAUACCUGGCCAGUGCUGGGAGCUGAAGGGACUACCCCACGAUGAGUAGGAGGGCCACCAUGGUGGCACUGAAGCCCAGGGUGAGGGCCUGUGUGGAGCCUGCUGUGGGUGCAGAUCUCGGUGGUAGAACCAAAUAUUCAAACGAGAGCUUUGAAGGCCGAAGUGGAGAAGGGUUCCAUGUGAACAGCAGUUGAACAUGAGUCAGUCGAUCCUGAGAGAUAGGCGAGCACAGUUCUGAAGGGAUGGGCAAUGGCUUCCGUCACCCUUGACCAAUUGAAAAGGAGUUCGGUUUAGAUCACCAAAUCCGGUGCGGCAGAGAAAGGCGCCUCGCGGCUUCCAGUGCAGUGACACAAAUUAUCUCGCAGAAGCUAGCUGGGGCCCCUGGGAGAGUUCUCUUUUCUUUGUAAAGGGCAGAGCACCAUGGAAUGGGAUUGCUCCAGGAGAUGAACCCGCACCCUGGAAAGCGUUGUGGUUCUGGUGGCAUCAGGUGAGCUCUCGCCAGCCCUUGAAAAUCUGGGGGAGAGGGUAUAAGUAUCGCACCAGCCAAUACCCCUAUUUGCAGCAGGUCUCCAAGGUGAAUGACCAUUGGCAUGUUAGAACAAUGUAGGUAAGGGAAGUUGGCAAGCCAGAUCCAUAACUUUGGAAUAAGGAUUGGCUCUAAGGGCUGGGUCAGUCAUGCUCAGGCAUGAAACAGGGCUGGGCAUGUGCUGCUGCUGGAUGAGGCAUUGCCCCUGGCGCUUGUCACACUCCCCCAUACCAGGGGAGCCAGGGGUCAGUGGCAGUGACUCUGGAUGCACACAGGGCUCUUCCUGUGGAUUACCGCAGCUGUGCCGGCUGCCAGUCCCAACCAGCAUCCGACAUAAUCCUGCAGCUAGCAGCUGAUUUAGAACUGGUGAGAACUGGGGGAAUCCAACUGUUAAAUUAAAACAAAGCAUAAUGAAGGCCUGAGAU